GAGAGAAGUGAAUGAAUAUGAUGUUGAUAGCUGGAAAUGAAAGCAAACAAGUAACUCAAUAAAGAGAAUGAGAAAGAUGGGACAUUGAGUGUGGCCGAAGCUUCUUCAUUCUCUUUUUGGCGUCGUCUUUCUUUUCGUGUCACUGUCUCAAAAUCUCAUUAAUAUCGUUUUAAGAGUUUUUAAGGCAUUGAAAUCUGUGCCAAUACAAAACAAGCAAAAACCAUGGAAGCAACUGCAGGAAUGGUUGCUGGCUCGCAUAAGAGGAACGAGCUUGUUCGAAUUCGCCAUGAUUCUGAAACCGCCCCUAAACCCCUGAAGAAUUUGAAUGGACAAAUCUGUCAAAUUUGUGGUGAAACUGUUGGAUUAACAGAUAGUGGCGAUGUCUUUGUUGCUUGCAAUGAGUGUGCAUUUCCAGUUUGUCGUCCUUGUUAUGAAUACGAGCGAAAGGAUGGGAACCAGUGUUGCCCCCAGUGCAAGACUAGAUACAAAAGGCACAAAGGGAGUCCUCGAGUGGAUGGAGAUGAAGAUGAGGAUGAUGUUGAUGAUUUGGAGAAUGAGUUCAGUUAUGGCCAAGGAAAGGCCAAGGCACGGCCGCAGUGGGAUGAAGAUGCUGACAUGUCUUCCUCUUCAAGACAUGAACAACCAAUUCCACUUUUGACUCAUCGGCACCAAAUUUCUAGUGAGAUUGCUACACCUGAUACGCAAUCAGUUCGAACUACAUCAGGCCCUUUGGGUCCAUCUGACAAGGUUCACUCACUUCCAUAUGUUGAUCCAAGGCAACCAGUUCCAGUAAGAAUUGUAGAUCCAUCAAAGGACUUAAAUUCUUAUGGUCUUGGAAAUGUUGACUGGAAAGAAAGGGUUGAAAGUUGGAAACUCAAGCAGGAGAAGAAUGUGGUGCAUGUGAAUGGUAGUAGAUACAAUGAGGGGAAAGGUGAUAUUGAAGGAACUGGUUCCAAUGGAGAAGAACUUCAAAUGAUUGAUGAUGCCAGACAACCUUUGAGUCGUGUGGUGCCUAUUCCUUCAUCUCAGAUAACUCCUUAUCGUGUAGUGAUCAUACUCCGGUUGAUUAUUCUGGCUUUCUUCUUGCAAUAUCGUACAACUCAUCCUGUGAAGGAUGCAUACCCUCUAUGGUUGACAUCAGUUAUUUGUGAGAUCUGGUUUGCCUUAUCAUGGCUCUUGGAUCAGUUUCCAAAAUGGUCUCCCAUCAAUCGCGAGACAUACCUUGAUAGGCUUGCUCUAAGGUAUGACCGUGAUGGAGAACCGUCGCAAUUGGCCCCGGUGGAUGUGUUUGUUAGUACAGUGGAUCCUCUCAAAGAGCCUCCUCUCAUAACAGCAAACACUGUUCUGUCUAUACUUGCUGUCGAUUAUCCUGUCGACAAGGUUUCUUGCUAUGUAUCAGAUGAUGGUUCGGCUAUGUUGACCUUUGAAGCCCUUUCAGAAACAGCUGAGUUUGCAAAGAAGUGGGUUCCCUUUUGCAAGAAGCACAAUAUUGAGCCAAGAGCCCCAGAGUUUUAUUUUGCACAGAAGAUUGAUUACUUGAAGGACAAGGUUCAACCCUCUUUUGUGAAAGAGCGCCGUGCAAUGAAGAGAGAAUAUGAAGAAUUUAAAAUACGGAUCAAUGCCCUUGUCGCGAAAGCUCAAAAGACACCAGAAGAAGGAUGGACAAUGCAGGAUGGAACUUCUUGGCCUGGAAAUAAUCCUAGGGAUCAUCCUGGAAUGAUUCAGGUCUUCUUGGGUCAUAGUGGAGGUCUUGAUACAGAUGGAAAUGAGCUACCAAGACUUGUUUAUGUUUCUCGUGAAAAGCGACCAGGCUUCCAACAUCACAAGAAAGCCGGAGCUAUGAAUGCUCUGAUUCGAGUUUCUGCUGUCUUGACAAAUGGUGCAUAUCUAUUGAACGUCGAUUGUGAUCAUUACUUCAAUAACAGCAAAGCUCUAAAAGAAGCCAUGUGUUUCAUGAUGGAUCCAGCUCUUGGAAAGAAGACAUGUUAUGUGCAGUUCCCUCAGCGUUUCGAUGGCAUUGAUUUGCACGAUCGAUAUGCCAACCGCAACAUUGUUUUCUUUGAUAUCAACUUGAAGGGUCUGGAUGGUAUUCAGGGACCAGUGUAUGUCGGAACUGGUUGUUGUUUCAAUAGGCAGGCUUUGUAUGGUUAUGAUCCUGUUUUGACUGAGGAAGAUUUGGAACCUAACAUUAUUGUGAAGAGUUGCUGUGGUUCAAGAAAGAAGGGAAGGGGUGGGAACAAGAAAUACAUUGACAAGAAGAGGGCUGCAAAAAGAACUGAAUCAACCAUUCCUAUCUUUAAUGUUGAAGACAUUGAAGAGGGUGUUGAAGGGUAUGAUGAUGAAAGGUCACUGCUUAUGUCUCAAAAGAGGUUAGAGAAGCGUUUUGGUCAGUCUCCGGUUUUCAUAGCUGCCACCUUCAUGGAGCAGGGUGGCAUUCCUCCUUCCACCAAUCCCGCGACGCUUCUGAAGGAAGCAAUCCAUGUUAUUAGCUGCGGUUAUGAAGACAAGACAGAAUGGGGCAAAGAGAUUGGAUGGAUAUAUGGCUCUGUGACUGAAGAUAUCUUGACUGGAUUCAAGAUGCAUGCUCGCGGUUGGAUUUCCAUCUAUUGCAUGCCACCUCGCCCGGCGUUUAAGGGUUCUGCUCCCAUCAAUCUUUCCGACCGUCUCAACCAGGUGCUCCGGUGGGCCUUGGGUUCCAUUGAGAUCUUCCUAAGCAGACAUUGUCCCUUGUGGUAUGGCUACAAUGGUAGAUUGAAGCUUCUUCAAAGGCUGGCUUACAUCAACACCAUUGUCUAUCCCCUUACUUCAAUCCCACUUCUUGCUUACUGCAUACUUCCUGCAUUUUGUCUUCUCACAAAUAAAUUUAUUAUUCCCGAGAUAAGCAACUUUGCUAGCAUGUGGUUCAUUCUCCUCUUCGUCUCGAUUUUCGUGACUUCAAUUCUUGAGCUUAGAUGGAGUGGUGUGAGCAUAGAAGACUGGUGGAGGAAUGAACAGUUUUGGGUUAUUGGUGGUACAUCAGCACAUCUUUUUGCUGUGUUCCAAGGUCUUCUCAAAGUCCUUGCAGGCAUUGAUACAAACUUCACCGUCACGUCAAAGGCGUCGGACGAGGACGGAGAAUUUGCUGAGCUCUACGUGUUCAAAUGGACAUCACUUCUCAUCCCUCCAACAACAGUGCUCAUAGUGAACCUUGUAGGCAUUGUAGCUGGUGUGUCAUAUGCUAUAAACAGUGGAUACCAAUCUUGGGGACCAUUGUUUGGGAAGCUUUUCUUUGCUAUAUGGGUCAUUGCUCAUUUGUAUCCUUUCCUGAAGGGUCUUUUGGGAAGGCAAAACCGCACACCAACCAUUGUCAUUGUUUGGUCAGUUCUCCUUGCUUCCAUAUUCUCCUUGUUGUGGGUUAGGAUUGAUCCUUUCACCACUGAAACCUCAAAAAAUGCUAAUGGUCAAUGUGGUAUCAACUGCUAGAGAUACUCUGGUUAAACUCACCAUCCUCUAUUGUUUCAUUAUUCGGAGACACAAAAGGUUGCCAUAGUGUAUAUACCGAAUUCAUUGAGAAAUGUUUUAUGUACUUAUUCUACUUGACAAGACGAGAUAAGUACAGAUAACAUACACCUAAUUCAUUCUCUCAAGGUUCUUAUGGAGGAAACAAGUGAAGAAGGGUUCUUGAUAAAGAUUAAAACAUAGAAGACUUAACCGUUUGUGUUGUGUUGUAUUAUUUGUUUAUUUUAUUU